rnacentral:rRNA from 1 species
GACGAACGCUGGCGGCGUGCUUAACACAUGCAAGUCGAACGCUGAAGCUCAGCUUUUGUUGGGGGGACGAGUGGCGAACGGGUGAGUAACACGUGAGUAACCUGCCCCCUUCUUUGGGAUAACGCCCGGAAACGGGUGCUAAUACUGGAUAUUCACUGGUCUUCGCAUGGGGGUUGGUGGAAAGGGUUUUUCUGGUGGGGGAUGGGCUCGCGGCCUAUCAGCUUGUUGGUGGGGUGAUGGCCUACCAAGGCUUUGACGGGUAGCCGGCCUGAGAGGGUGACCGGUCACAUUGGGACUGAGAUACGGCCCAGACUCCUACGGGAGGCAGCAGUGGGGAAUAUUGCACAAUGGGCGCAAGCCUGAUGCAGCGACGCCGCGUGAGGGAUGGAGGCCUUCGGGUUGUGAACCUCUUUCGCUCAUGGUCAAGCCGCAACAAUGGUUGUGGUGAGGGUAGUGGGUAAAGAAGCGCCGGCUAACUACGUG